GCCUGGUUGGAUCAGUCGGUAGAGCAUGUGAUUCUGGAUCUUGGGUCGUGAGUUCAAACCCCACGUUAGGCA
rnacentral:tRNA from 1 species